rnacentral:misc_RNA from 1 species
GAUGAAGAACGUAGCGAAAUGCGAUAAGUAAUGUGAAUUGCAGAAUUCAGUGAAUCAUCGAAUCUUUGAACGCACAUUGCGCCCCCUGGUAUUCCGGGGGGCAUGCCUGUCCGAGCGUCAUUACAACCCUCAAGCUCAGCUUGGUGUUGGGCCCCGCCGCCCCGGCGGGCCCUAAAGUCAGUGGCGGUGCCGUCCGGCUCCGAGCGUAGUAAUUCUUCUCGCUCUGGAGGUCCGGUCGUGUGCUCGCCAGCAACCCCCAAUUUUGUUCAGGUUGACCUCGGAUCAGGUAGGGAUACCCGCUGAACUUAAGCAUAUCAAUAAGCGGAGGA